rnacentral:rRNA from 1 species
UACAGAGGUCUCAAGCGUUGUUCGGAUUCAUUGGGCGUAAAGGGUGCGUAGGUGGUGCUGUAAGUCAGGUGUGAAAUCCCGGGGCUCAACCCCGGAACUGCACUUGAUACUGCAGUGCUCGAGGACUGGAGAGGAGAUCGGAAUUCAUGGUGUAGCAGUGAAAUGCGUAGAUAUCAUGAGGAAGACCAGUGGCGAAGGCGGAUCUCUGGACAGUUCCUGACACUGAGGCACGAAGGCCAGGGGAGCAAACGGG